rnacentral:rRNA from 1 species
AGGAAGUAAAAGUCGUAACAAGGUUUCUGUAGGUGAACCUGCGGAAGGAUCAUUAAUGUAUGUUAAAGGGCUGUAGUCUCUAUGGCCCUGUCUACAUCCAUGUUUUUGCGUACUACUUGUUUCCUUGGUAGGCUUGCCUACCAAUAAGGACUUUGUAAAACCUUUGUAAUUGCAAUCAGCGUCUGAAUAACUUAAUAGUUACAACUUUCAACAACAGAUCUCUUGGUUCUGGCAUCGAUGAAGAACGCAGCGAAAUGCGAUAAGUAGUGUGAAUUGCAGAAUUCAGUGAAUCAUCGAAUCUUUGAACGCACAUUGCGCCCCUUGGUAUUCCAUGGGGCAUGCCUGUUCGAGCGUCAUUUGUACAUUCAAGCUCUGCUUGGUGUUGGGUGUUUGUCUAUACUGCAUGUAUGGACUCGCCUUAAAUCAAUUGGCAGCUAGUGUAUGAGCAUAGAAGCGCAGCACAUUUUGCGUCUCUUGUUCUGAUCACUUGGCCUCCAAUAAGCCUAUAUAUAACGCUUGACCUCGGAUCAGGUAGGGAUACCCGCUGAACUUAAGCAUAUCAU